rnacentral:rRNA from 1 species
CGGGUGAGUAAUGCGUGACCAACCUGCCCCAUGCUCCAGAAUAGCUCUUGGAAACGGGUGGUAAUGCUGGAUGCUCCAACUUGACGCAUGUCUUGUUGGGAAAGUGUUUAGUGGCAUGGGAUGGGGUCGCGUCCUAUCAGCUUGUAGGCGGGGUAAUGGCCCACCUAGGCUUCGACGGGUAGCCGGCCUGAGAGGGCGGACGGCCACAUUGGACUGAGAUACGGCCCAGACUCCUACGGGAGGCAGCAGUC